GACGAACGCUGGCGGCGUGCUUAACACAUGCAAGUCGAACGGAAAGGCCCUGCUUUUGUGGGGUGCUCGAGUGGCGAACGGGUGAGUAACACGUGAGUAACCUGCCCUUGACUUUGGGAUAACUUCAGGAAACUGGGGCUAAUACCGGAUAGGAGCUCCUGCUGCAUGGUGGGGGUUGGAAAGUUUCGGCGGUUGGGGAUGGACUCGCGGCUUAUCAGCUUGUUGGUGGGGUAGUGGCUUACCAAGGCUUUGACGGGUAGCCGGCCUGAGAGGGUGACCGGCCAAAUGGGGCAGGAAAUACGCCCAGAACUCAUAGGGGGGGCAGCAGGGGGGAAUUGUCAACAAGGGGGGGAGGCCGAAUCGAGCAACGCGGGGGGGGGGAUGACGGCUUUGGGGUUGAAAACCGCUUUCGCCUGUAACGAAGGGGGGGGGACGGAAAUGGGAAAAGAAGACCCGGCAAAUUCGGU
rnacentral:rRNA from 1 species